ensembl:snRNA U6 U6 spliceosomal RNA
GUGCUCACUUCGGCAACACAGAUACUAAAAUUUGAAUGAUACAGAGAAGGCUAGCACAGCCCCUGUCCAAGGAUGACACCCAAAUUCAUAGAAAGGGUAAUGGCGGAA